rnacentral:rRNA from 1 species
GAUGAACGCUGGCGGCGUGCCUAAUACAUGCAAGUCGAGCGAACAGACGAGGAGCUUGCUCCUCUGACGUUAGCGGCGGACGGGUGAGUAACACGUGGAUAACCUACCUAUAAGACUGGGAUAACUUCGGGAAACCGGAGCUAAUACCGGAUAAUAUAUUGAACCGCAUGGUUCAAUAGUGAAAGACGGUUUUGCUGUCACUUAUAGAUGGAUCCGCGCCGCAUUAGCUAGUUGGUAAGGUAACGGCUUACCAAGGCAACGAUGCGUAGCCGACCUGAGAGGGUGAUCGGCCACACUGGAACUGAGACACGGUCCAGACUCCUACGGGAGGCAGUAGUAGGGAAUCUUCCGCAAUGGGCGAAAGCCUGACGGAGCAACGCCGCGUGAGUGAUGAAGGUCUUCGGAUCGUAAAACUCUGUUAUUAGGGAAGAACAAAUGUGUAAGUAACUAUGCACGUCUUGACGGUACCUAAUCAGAAAGCCACGGCUAACUACGU